AAAUUUUGCUUUCAGCAAUUUUCCAUUUUUUUCAGCAUACUUAUAUCACAAUGAGGCAACCAAAUAUGAAUCCUGAGAAUGAAGAUGGAAAAUGAAUAUUUUAAUCCAAUAUCGAGUUGUUCUUUCAACAUUUUUAGUUUUAGUUUUAACUGAAAAUAUAAAGUUACAUAAUUGUGUGAGGAAUAAUUUUUGCAGAGAAAUUUUUAAAAAUUCACAAAAGGAAAAAGAAACCUUUACCAUGAGUCUAUAACAUUGAAAGACUGUGUUUAAGUGAUUUUAAUAAAGCCAAACCAACACUUUCAGCAGGAACUAAAUGGCAGCAUCUGAUUUCACGCUGAUACAUAUGUAUUAGUGUGGUGCUCACUUUUACCCUUCAUUUUACCUUGGGUCUUGCCAUUUUCUUUCUAUUUUUACGUUUUUUUUUUUUUUUUUCUUUUGGAAGAGGUAAUUUUUAGGGAGAAAAAAACACUUUUUCCUCAUAGGUCGAUUUAAAAUGUUGGCCUUACCUUAAUCUCCUCUCUCAAACUCAAUCCACUAUGUAAUGGGUCAACAUACUUUUCUGUGAAGGACCAGAUAGUAAAUAUUUUAGUCUUUGCAGGCCAUAUGGUCUCUGUUGCCAGCUCUUCCAUUGUGGUGUGAAAGCAGCCAUAGACAACACAGAAAUGAAUAAGUGUAACUGUUCCAAUAAAAACAGAUGAUAUGUUGAAUUUAGCUCACAGAGUUUAGCUUGCUGCCCCUGCAGGAGGCCUUUGGAGUAAAAGCUUCCUGAGAGGAGGAAUUUUUGUCUUUUUUGCUCAAGUUCUAGCUCCAGUACCUAAAAUAGUGCCUGUCACGUAGGUAUUGAUGAAUAUUUGAACCUGUUGAACAUACACCUAAAAUAAAACAUUUGGCAAGAUACAGUACUACACAAUUUGGAAAACACUUGGCUCCCAUAGAAAUCAAAGCCUUCCUGAGUAAUUAAUUAUUUGGCCUGAUGAUGAAUUACUGUGCCUGAGAUGAUAGAGCUAAUUUAUUUUUCAAUUCACUCAGGGGACACACGUUAUUUUCACUGUGAAUUUGGUUAAAAUGAAAAGAUUUCCUGCUCUAAGUCCUGGAUAGACCUUUAUGUAAUAGCAUACUCUUCACUCUUUUUGAAUCGCAUGCAGUUGUCACACUGGAUGAUUUCCAGACAGAGGUUCCAAGUCUUUCAUCAUGUUUGGGUUAAAGGCCUCAUUAACAUACUAGUCCUGCCAUUUGAGUCUGUUCUCUUCACGGAAUAUUUUCACCUGAAUCAGUGGGUAUAAUUCAUCAGUGUCUGGUUGCUUCAAGUUAUUUUUCUUAAUGCUGAUGUUAAUGCAUGCCCAUCUUUAUGCCUCAACACAUUGCACAAUGAAAAACAAAAAUUAUUUUGGAAGACACAGCUGACAUCUAUAUGAAAUAUUCAGUAUCAGUGAUUGAACUUCAGCAAGCUCCUGUGGCCAGCAGGGUUUUACGGAGGUGCAACUGCUCUCCCAUGAUCACUUAUCAUAAAGCCAGAGACAAUUGGGCCAACGUAGCAUCUUGCCUGCUUUUGUGUACAAAAUAUAAAUAGAAUAGAGCAAACAAGGAAAAAUAGUCCCGCAGCUGGAAGGCAACUUUAAAGAAAAAUGAUGUUCAUAGCUAUCUUGCCAGUAGCUGGCAAAGCAGUUUUUAUAAGACAUAUUUAAUGUUUACAACCACUUGGAGGCUGGGGAAGGAGUAAUACUUUGCAAAUAUGUUUAAUGUUGUGAACCACUCUGUGGCCGAGAAGCAACUCCGGCUAAAAUAUAUUUAAUGCUUAGAGUCAUUUGGUGGUUUCGAAAAAAAAGAAACUUCUUGUUAAUUUUUAACAUUUAUUGCUGAUCAGUGGCUGCUAAAGUAACUAUCAGUACAGCAUGGUUUAUGUUUAGGGACACGCUGUGCUGCUACUAACACAAUUCAUACUCUUCUCUCAAGGCUACACAAAAAGUGUCAAUAGCAUUACCUUUGCAAUUGCACCACUAAUAAAAACACAGGAAUCAAACAGACGAAUAAAAUGCUCCCUGCCCACACAGCCAUAACAUCCUAUGGCCCUGAAAAUAGUCCUGCCAAACUGCGUGCAGUGGACACUUCACGGCUGGCACAGGAGAGAUCACAAGGCCUUGCUCAAUUUCAUCAAAAGUGUUAAAGCGACUCAGCAGAUUGUGAAGCACAAGUGGAAGCUGAUAAUUGGUGUUUCUUACAAAUCAACGGCUUGUCUCCACACAUCAAGGUGAGAAAAUCAAUGUAAAAGAGGAGAAAUAACCCACACAACUACAUACAACUAGGAAAUGAUAGUUGGAUCUGAACAAAAGGAUAUGCACUCUUAACAAGUUCAACAUCCAAGUACUAUUGCAAGUACAAGCUGUAUUUCAUGGAAAAA
rnacentral:lncRNA from 1 species